UACAUAGGUGGCAAACGUUAUCCGGAAUUACUGGGCGUAAAGAGUGCGUAGGUGGUUCAAUAAGUUACUGGUGGGAAAUCGGGGCUCAACCUCGUGGAAGUCAGUAAUACUAUUAAACUAGAGGGUCGGAGAGGUUAACGGAAUUCUAUGUGUAGCGGUAAAAUGCUUAAAUAUAUAGAGGAACACCAAACGGCGAAGGCAGUUAACUAUUCGAUUCCUGACGUUGAGGCACGAAAGCGUGGGGAGCAAGACGG
rnacentral:rRNA from 1 species